rnacentral:lncRNA from 1 species
CUGUGGGCAAAUCAUCGGUUGAGAGCUCAGGAUACACCUAGGGCCAGCCAGGAGCUUUUGCAGACAGGGCUAUUUUUCAAGAUGCUUAAAGAUAUUAAAAAUGAAGAACCUGGAUUGAAAGCCUCACAUCGACUAUUUUUCAAGAUGCUUAAAGAUAUUAAAAAUGAAGAAUCUGGAUUGGAAGCCUCACAUCAUAAGCACUAGCAUGCCACAGAAUGGAAAAUUCACAGGAGCCGGAAAGAGCCCAGAUGUCCUUCAACAGAGGAAUGGAUACAGAAAAUGUGGUAUAUUUACACAAUGGAGUACUACUCAGCUAUCAAAAACAAUGACUUCAUCAAAUUCAUAGGAAAGUGGAAACUAGAAAAUACCAUCCUGAGUGAGGUCAUCCAGUCACAAAAGAACACAUAUGGUAUGUACUUACUGAUAAGUGGAUAUUGCCAAAAAGCUCAGAAUACCCAAAAUACAAUUCACAGACCAUAUGAUGCUCAAGAAGAAGAAAGACCAAAAAUGUGGAUGCAUCAGUCUGUCUUACAAGGGGUAACAAAAUACCCCUUGUAAAGGGGAGGAAGUAAAGGGACACAGAGUGGAAUGGAAUCUGAAGGAAAGGCCAUUCUGAGACAUCCCCAACUAGGGAUCUGUUCCAUAUUCAGCCACCAAACCCAGUCUCUGUUGCUGAUGCUAAGAAGUGCUUGCUGUCUGGAGCCAGAUAGGCAUAUCUCCUGAGAGGCUUUGUCAGAGUCUUACUGAUACAGAUUAAGAUGCUUGCAGCUAACCAUCAAACUGAGCACAGGCACCCCAAUGAAGGAGUUAGAGAAAGGACUGAAGGAGCUGAAGGGGCUUGCAAGGAAGAACAACAAUAUCAACAAACUGGACCCGCCCUGAGCUUUCAGGGACUAAACUACCAACCAAAGAGUACACAUGGGGGAACCCAUGGCUCCAGCUGCAUAUGUAGCAGAGGAUGGCUUUUUUGGCAUCAAUAGGAGAAGUCCUUGGUCCUGUGAAAGCUCAAUUUUCCAGUGUAAGGGAUUGCUAGGCUCUGUUGACUUGGGAGGGGGAGCAUCCCCCUUGAAGAAGGGGGAAGGGAAAUGGAUGAAGUGUUUACAGGGAAAGGAGAUAACAUUUGAAAUGUAAAUAUAUAAACUAUCAGUAAAAUAAAACAAAAAAGAAAAGAAAAAAAUGAAGGAACAAGAGUAUCUUCCACAAGUAGCCAGUAGGAGUCACUAUCCUAACCUGGAUAGAACUUGAGCAUUUAAGACAUUAUACUGUCCACAGUGAUACACAUUUUCUAACAAGGCCACAAUUACCUCAACAAGCCCAUACCACCUAGCAGAGCCACUCCUAUAAGCCAAGAAUUCAAGAAUAUGAGUCCAUGGCACCCAAACUUAUUCAAACCAGCACAAAUAGUAUAGAACUUAAUCUUGCUAUCCACUGGUAUUGUGUAAUUUAAAACUCAUAAAAGUAAUUUAUUUUGGGAACUUUUAUUUUGGUAUUUUCAUAUGAAAGUUAAUUAGGGAUUAAAUAAUGUAGAAAAAGUGAUAUCAUAAAUAGCAAGAGACUCAUCUUCUUUCUUUGCUAUGUGUAUGGCAAAGUGUUAACAGCAUCUAUACUGCUAUAUCAGUUAGAAACACCCACAUAUUGGCAACAGUGAGCCAAUGAAGUCUGUGUCUUAAAUAUCCAAUCAUGUCCAACUGCUGUUACACAUUUUUCUACAGGAAUUAGAAGUCCCUGUACAAGUGAAAGCUUAUUUCUGUAGUUUCAUGUUUCUAAAUCAAAUCCAUCCUUGGCAUUUCUCUACUUCCAGAAUAUGUGCAUGCCCAAUUGAGGUGUCACACGUUCUUUUUCCUACCUCCAAAUGUAUUAUUCUUCUCUCUUUUUGUGUCCACCACUAAUGACCUCUUGACAACUUCCUACAGUAUCCCAUAUAUCUUGAUCUUGAUAAUGCCCUACUCAUUUAUAAGAUGUGUUUUCUGUGAAAAAAUGAGCUGUAGCCCUUGCUUUGAAGGUUUUGACAUUAGAAACAUGGUUAUAAUUCAGAAUGCCAAAAGAACAAUGUGAAAAUAUGUAUUUCAAAGGAGCCUUCUGGGUGAUAUUACUUCAAAACCAUUAUAUGCCAUCACUUAGGUAAUGCUAGCAUAUAAUGCCCUAGAUUUCCAUUAGAUUAUCCAUGAUUUCCAUUAAACUGUGAUGUCUAUAGGGGAAGAAACAUUUAUAUCUUGUUCAUUUUUAAAGAAACAUGUAACCUAGCAACAAGAUAUACUCAACAUAUUCUUUUUCAUUUGUGUGUGAGAUCAACUUUACAACCUAGAAACUUAGUUUGUAACUUUCUUAAAAUUUUACUUAUUACGUAUUUGUUUGCCAACAUAUUUUUACUUUUCAUUUUAUUUUUAAGAUUAUAAUAAAUAUAAUUGCAUCAUUUUUCUAUUUAGUUUCUUCCUUCAAAUAUAUAUAUAUAUUUAUAUGUAAAUAUAUAAACAUAUACACACACAUAUUCCUAAAUAUAACCAUCUUAGACAUAUAAUGUUAAUUAUAUGAAUGAUUUUAUGGGUGACCAUUUGGUACUGGAUAAUCAGUUGUUGUGCUCUUCCCAGAGAGAUUAUUUUUCCCACUCUCAGUAUUCCUUAUUUGUCUGUUGUUCUUUGUGUAGUUUGGAAGCCUUCUGGUCUUUCUCUUUCCCCUGUCCAUUUGGCGUACCUAUUCAUGUCCUUGUUUUAUGUUCUUGUUUGGAAAUUCUCUGCCCCUCUGGCUCUUACAAUCUUUCCUUCUUCCUUUCCACAGUAUUCCCGAGCCUUAGGUACAAAUGUGUUUUGGACAUUAUACAUUAGGACUGGGAUCCACAAUUCUGCAUUUGACCAAUUGAAGUUUUCUUUAAUUAUCUCCAUAUGUUGUGAAGAGACAUCUCCUUAAUGAAGGUUAAGAAAUAUAUUUAUGAAAGACACACAUGGUAUGUACUCAUUGAUAAGUGGCUAUUAGCCCAAAUGCUUGAAUUGCCCUAGAUGCACAGAACACAUGUAACUCAAGAGGGAUGACCAAAAUGCGAAUGCUUCACUCCUUCUUUAAAAGGGGAACAAGAAUACCCUUGGCAGGUAAUAGGGAGGCAAAGUUUAAAACAGAGGCAGAAGGAACACCCAUUCAGAGCCUGCCCCACAUGUGGCCCAUACAUAUACAGCCAUCCAAUUAGACAACAUGGAUGAAGCAAAGAAGUGCAGGCCAACAGGAACCGGAUGUAGAUCUCUCCUGAGAGACACAGCCAGAAUACAGCAAAUAUAUAGGCAAAUGCCAGCAGCAAACCACUGAACUGAGAAUGGGACCCCCGUUGAAGAAAUCAGAGAAAGAACUGGAAGAGCUUGAAGGGGCUCAAGACCCCAUAUGAACAACAAUGCCAAGCAACCAGAGCUUCCAGGGACCAAGCCACUACCUAAAGACUUUACAUGGACUGACCCUGGGCUCCAACCUCAUAGGUAGCAAUGAAUAUCCUAGUAAGAGCACCAGUGGAAGGGGAAGCCCUUGGUCCUGUCAGGAUGGAACCCCCAGUGAACGUGAUUGUUGGGGGUAAGGCAGUAAUGGGGGGAGAAUGGGGAGGGGAAGCCCAUAUAGAAGGGAAGGGUGAGGGAUUAGGGGGAUGUUGGCCUGGAAACCGGGAGAGGGAAGAACAAUCGAAAUGUAAAUAAGAAAUACUCAAGUUAAUAAAGAAAAGAAAUAUAUUUUAUCUGUGAGUAUAAGAACAAAUACUGAGUGUAUUUAGUAAUUAUGCUGGUUUAGUAAAGGAGUGGCUAUUGCUUCCCUUCCAGGAUCGAGGGCUGAAGAUCUGUAGAAUGUUGUGACGUAAGACAGGAGGUGCAGAGUUUGCAGAUUUGCUCACCUGGCUUUCAGUUCUGAGUCAGCACUGUUUCCUCACAAUGCUCCCUUUCCUCCCUCUUGGAAUGGUAGUAUAUAGCUUGUGCCAUUAUAUGUUGGAAACAUGUGGUCUACUUUUUUGCUUUUGCUUUUACAGGGGAUUAGAGUUAAAGAGAAUGAAUGAGUCUCAGAAGAGACUUGAAACUUUGAACUUUUAAAAAAUGUUGACACUAUUAUAGACGGUGGGGACUCUUGAAAUUGGACAAAAUGUAUUCUGAGUUUUGAUAUAUCCCUGAUGUAUCCUCUCUACAGGUCUUCCUGUGUGCUGCCUUGAUUAUAAUAGAGUAAACCUUUGAAAUGUAAUCCAGUCACAAUUAAAUAUUUUCCUUUUAAA